GUGCUCACUUCAGCAGCACAUAUACUAAAAUUGGAAUGAUAUAAAGAAGAUCAGCAUAGCCCCUGAGCAAGGAUGACACACAAAUUCAUGAAGAGUCCAUAUCACAC
ensembl:snRNA U6 U6 spliceosomal RNA